GUUUUCUAUGCAGAUCACCUGUGAAUAGCAACAGAUCACACUGCUAUAAAAGGGACGGCUACAGGAGCCAGUUUGAAAAUUGGCAAUAUUUUCAACUACCCUGUAUGAAGAAGGGAAAAAGUAGACAAGGACCACCAUCACAGGCCAAUGGGGUUGUAAACAGCAAUUCAGAUGGCUUGUUCCAUAAACUGCAGCACAGCUGGAAACCAGUAAAUAGAACAGGAAUAUGUAUCUUCAAACACUGGGCCAAACUCCAUUAACGACUGCGUCCUAAGAAGCUUGUCUGGACAUAGUGGAUGUCCAGGAGAUUGUGGAGGAUUCCAGUCAAUAGAUGAUAGGGGAGUCCGCUUGGGAUGGUGGCGAUAGACCCUUGGUGCAAAGACGCUGUUACUCUCCAAAGGAUGCUGCGGGGUAGCUGGGGAAAGCUGGUCAACAGAUGUCAAAGACUGGCGCCUCGCAAGGCAAGACAAAGAGUAACUUCUGCUAACUGUAUCCCCGGGCAUGAAGUCCUUUUGCCCAAAUCCACUGCUGUGUUGUCCUGAAGGCAUCUGCAAGGUACCUUCUGAGCAAUGUCCAAGAGAAUGAGUAGAAUGCCUUCUCUUCAAGACAUGAGACCUUCUGCCAUAAGUAUCCCAACAGGUGGAAUCUUCUGCAUGGUGCCUCUUCAUAUAUGCAUCAUAUAGCAUCCUUGGUCUAAAUAAAGUUCUAUGCUCAUCUGUGGCGCGCAGUGUCCUUGUUCUGUCUGACAAAAACAUGCUCCGGUCAUUUCUGUGUACCGCUCUGAGGACACUUGGUGGAGUAACAGUCAGAUACUGAUUAGUGUCUGAUGCUCUGGAAACUGAGUCUAUUGAAGUCCUCCUGUUUGCCGCAUCUCGGGAUUGUUCCUGUGCCAGCUGGUCAUCCAGACUGCCCAGAACUGGGGGGAGGGGAGAGAGACAUUAAUAUAUAUAUGAGCAGACACAAUUAAGUUGUUAUUUGUGCCAUAAAAUCCUUAUGUAACCCAUCUCAGACAUCAAAUUAAACUGACCAUUCUAGACGUUUGAAGAAAACUACAGCUGAACAGACAAAAUUAAAUCACUCUGAACAACAAUC